rnacentral:rRNA from 1 species
GAUGAACGCUGGCGGCGUGCCUAAUACAUGCAAGUCGAGCGAAUGGAUUAAGAGCUUGCUCUUAUGAAGUUAGCGGCGGACGGGUGAGUAACACGUGGGUAACCCGCCCAUAAGACUGGGAUAACUCCGGGAAACCGGGGCUAAUACCGGAUAACAUUUUGAACCGCAUGGUUCGAAAUUGAAAGGCGGCUGCGGCUGUCACUUAUGGAUGGACGCGCGUCGCAUUAGCUAGUUGGUGAGGUAACGGCUCACCAAGGCAACGAUGCGUAGCCGACCUGAGAGGGUGAUCGGCCACACUGGGACUGAGACACGGCCCAGACUCCGCCGGGAGGCAGCAGUAGGGAAUCUUCCGCAAUGGACGAAAGUCUGACGGAGCAACGCCGCGUGAGUGAUGAAGGCUUUCGGGUCGUAAAAUUCUGUUGUUAGGGAAGAACAAGUGCUAGUUGAAUAAGCUGGCACCUUGACGGUACCUAACCAGAAAGCCACGGCUAACUACGUGCCAGCCGCCGCAGUAA